rnacentral:lncRNA from 1 species
GGGUUUCAACAUAAAAACCCCAAUAGCUAGAGAUUCAACCGUGGGAAUUAUAUAAUUUUUACAUAUUCAGAAUCCCCAUUAUAAAGGCUACGAGGGACAUCCAAAAGUUCGUGACUAGCAUUACGUCAUUUGGAAAGUCAUUCAAAGCUUCAACUUUGAGGUAUGUGGGGUUUUUCAACAAGAACACUCUUUCGUUCUUGUGCCGAAAGUUCUUGUGCCUAAAAAUACUUUCUUUUACGAAGUUAUGGAUUUCUUAUGUUUUACUAUGAUUUUGAAGAAUGAACUUAUAUCCUAUAUUGAUUAUCACGAGAUUAUGAUAUUUUUGAUAUUUUAGAAGCGGAAUUAUAUGAGAAUGAUGAUAUUUUCUGCCUUAUAAAUGAAUUUUCCAGAUUUUGAAGGAAUUUAUAUAUGUUUAUGAUGUAAAGCUUGAAUCUUGAUAAGUUUUAAUGUGAUAUUGAGACAUGAGUUUUGUACUCUAUUUGAGAUUGUUGUUUUUAAGAAAUCAUGUGUUAUAAACACCUUGAGUUUGAAUGAUUUGAGAUGAUGAAGAAGCUUUGACCUUUCAGUCGUAAAAAGGGGUGUUUUUGAACCCGAGAUGAGAAAAAAAAUGCACUUUUAUUGAUUAUUAUAAAAAGGGUAGCAAGAUGGCUCCCGUUGUGAAUUGUUGAACUGUUUAUUAGUGGAUUUUCUUUUCAAAAGAUCUAAACUAAGUCCGGGAGUAGUCUUUAGCACCGAGCGGGAGGUAUAGCUGUUUUGGUACUUCCCUAGAACUACGUGCCCCCGUAGGAUAUGAGCCUGAGGAUGAUUUAUAUAGUGAUCACUAGUGUUUGGAUUGAUAAUUUAAGGUCCUACUCCGAUGGUAAGGAAUAGGUAGACCCUCCCAACGUGGGUAGAACAUUGGACUCCAUGUAGCUCACAUGUUUAUGUCGGUUAUGAGAGACUCCCAAUGUGUGUGUGUGUACUCUUCUAUCUAAGAUGAAAAUAUAUUCGCUUGAAAGACUGAGUUUGAGAAAGUUGUUGUUUUCGAAAGAUUGAAAUGAUAUAUUCUAAAGAGAAUUGUUAUGAGAUUUGAUUGCUUUGAUGAUUUGAAAAUGAGAUGAGAUUGAAUUGAGAACUUAUUGUAAUGACUCACUUAUUUUAUUUUACAUGUAUUAUUCAUCCAUGAUUUCAAUGAUUUAAUUCGAGCUAAGUGAGUCAUUUAUAUCAGCAUGCAUAAUUUUAUAAACUGUGAUGAUAUUAAGAUAUUAUUUUAUAUAUGCAUUGCACCUCCAUAUGCUUGGUACGUUUCCAUGGUACUAACCCACGUAUUCAUAUGUGGGCUACAUUUUCUCAGAAUGUAGGUACAAGGUAUGUGUACAUCUUCAGAUCCAGUCAGUUCGCGGCAUCCAAU